rnacentral:rRNA from 1 species
GGGUGCGACGGCGGUCCAAGUCCCCUGGAACUGGGCGUCAUAGAGGGUGAGAAUCCCGUAUGCGGCCAAUCGUCAACCCCGUGUGAAGCCCUUUCGACGAGUCGAGUUGUUUGGGAAUGCAGCUCUAAAUGGGUGGKAAAUUUCAUCUAAAGCUAAAUACCUGCCAGAGACCGAUAGCGCACAAGUAGAGUGAUCGAAAGAUGAAAAGCACUUUGGAAAGAGAGUCAAACAGCACGUGAAAUUGUUGAAAGGGAAGCGCUUGCAACCAGACUCGUUCGCGGGGUUCAGCCGUCCCUCGGGGUGGUGCACUUCCCCGCGAUCGGGCCAGCAUCGGUUCUGGCGGUCGGACAAAGGCCCUGGGAACGUAGCUCUCUCCGGAGUGUGUUAUAGCCCGGGGUGCAAUGCGGCCAGCCGGGACCGAGGACCGCGCUCUGCUAGGAUGCUGGCGUAAUGGUUGCCAGCGACCCGUCUUGAAACACGGACCAAGGAGUUGAAGAAUCUUGCGAGUGUUAGGGUAUCACACCCUUGCGCGUAAUGAAAGUGAACGUAGGUGAGAGCCCUCGGGCGCAUCAUCGACCGAUCUUGAUGUCUUCGGAUGGAUUUGAGUACGAGCACGGUUCUUCUGACCCGAAAGAUGGUGAGCUAUCCGCGAAUAGGGUGAAGCCAGAGGAAACUCUGGUGGAGGCUCGCAGCGGUUCUGACGUGCAAAUCGAUCGUCAAAUUUGCGGAUAGGGGCGAAAGACUAAUCGAACCAUCUAGUAGCUGGUUCCUGUCGAAGUUUCCCUCAGGAUAGCAGCAACGAGAAGAGUCUCAUGAGGUAGAGCAACGAUUAGAGGCCUUGGGGCUGAAACAGCCUUAACCUAUUCUCGAACUUCG